UACGGAGGGUGCGAGCGUUGUCCGGAAUCACUGGGCGUAAAGCGCACGUAGGCGGAUCUUUAAGUCAGGGGUGAAAUCCCGAGGCUCAACCUCGGAACUGCCUUUGAUACUGGGGAUCUCGAGUCCGGGAGAGGUGAGUGGAACUGCGAGUGUAGAGGUGAAAUUCGUAGAUAUUCGCAAGAACACCAGUGGCGAAGGCGGCUCACUGGCCCGGAACUGACGCUGAGGUGCGAAAGCGUGGGGAGCAAACAGG
rnacentral:rRNA from 1 species